AUGGUGAUACAUUCAUCUGUCUUAAGAUCCCUGCUGAUCUGCUCAUGGUCAAACUCAUGGAAAGAGUUGAGAGUGGGGCACCUUGUUCCUGCAUCCUCAAAGGAGCAUCUUGUUCCAGAGUUAAAAGGUUCCAGAGUUAAAAGGUACCUGUACCAUUUAGCGGCUUGUUCACUCAAAGAUCCAUCUUUUCUGGAGCCUGAGGAUGAUUGGAGGUGAAAGGUGUAAGCCAUACUCUGCUCAACUCCAGUCUGAAACUAAGGUUUAAAGAAAGAACACGUACUUAACACACGGGUAAGUAAGUAUCCAUUCACGUACUUGUGUUAAAUAUCAGACUAACUAUAUAAAUACAAUGUUCUAAGUCCGUUUUAGUAAGAACCCUAAACUGUUCUUUUUCUCUGCAGGAAUCCAACUCUUGGAGGACAUCAGAAGUGGAAUUUUCUUAUACAACCUACCUAUUCAAAUUAGCAUAUAAUCUUUCUAGCCUUUCUAAAUAAAUAAAGGGAUUUUUUUGUAAACCUUGACUGCUUCUGUGUUUGGAUGGACUGGACCUAGGUGAGCAGGAGAUAAUAUGAUCCCAGGGAGAUUGUUACUUGCUUUGCCCUACUUAGCAUAACAGUUUGCCGCAUAUUAGUCUAACCCAGGAAAGCAUCCAAAGAGCCUCCUAGACCUUUAAGGAGUUUUCCUUCCUAUCGAUGCUUGGCCUAGUUGUCCUUGCUGGGUUUGAGUGACCCUUUACGGGGAGGAGGAGAACGCCAAAAAGUCCUUUGGAUCAGUCCCAAAGAUGACCAUUUUGUAAAGGUUCUUUAUGUCACAAAGAAUUCAGCGAGAGGAGUUCUCUAGAGGAUGAAGAAAAGCGAAUGCUCCCUCACCGUUGGGGAUGUAAAUUGGCACAACCACCUUGGAAAACAGUAAGGAGGUACCUGAGAAUCCCACUCCUGGGCAUUUAUCUGGACAAAACUAAUUCAAGUAGAUAGACGCACCUGGGUGUUCAUUGCAGCGCCAUUCACAAUGGCCAGACAUGGGAACCUAAAUGUUCAUCUACAGAUGAGAUGGAGAUACGGCACAUACACGUGAGGGGGAUACUGUGUAAAAACUAAUGCCAUUUGCAGCAGCAUAGGUGGAACAUAGGAUACUAAAUGAAGUAAGCCAGAAAGAAAAAGAUAAAUAACAUGUAGCACUUGAAGCUUGUGGAAUCUAAAAUAAUGGGACAGAUGACCCUAUCUAAAAAGACAGCUGAAAACCAAUCACAGCCAAAGCCAGCAGACUUGGGGUUCCCAUGGGGGGAAGAGGGAGUAGGAUGGGUAGGCAUUUGAGUGGGUUUGGGUGCAAACUUAAGUUUGGAAUGGGUGGGCGGUGGGGCCCUACUGUACAGCACAGGGAAAUGUGUAUGUUGGGUCUCUGCCACACAACAGAAUUUGAAACACUGUAAGUCAACCGUACUUUUAACAGUAAAAGGAGUUCCCAUUCUGCUGCAGGACUAGGAACCACAAGGUUGUGGAUUUGAUCCCUGGCCUCAACGAGUGAGUCAUUACCUUAAGCUGGGAUGGGUGUUGCUGGUGUGGCCAUGGCUGUGGUGUAGGCCUGCAGCUACAGCUCUGAUUCAGUCCCUAGCCUGGAAGCUUCCAUAUGCUGCAGGUGUUGCCCUAAGAAAAGCAAGAAAGGAGUUCCCCUCAUGGCUCAGUGGAAAUGAAACUGACUAGUAACCAUGAGAACACAAGUUCGAUCCCUGGCCUCACUCGGUGGGUUAAGGACCCAGGCUUGCUGUGGCUGUGAUGUAGGCUGGUGGCUACAGCUCUGAUUCGACCCCUAGCCUAGGAAGCGCUGUAUGCCACAGGUGCAGCCCUAAGAAGACAAAAAACAAACAAAAAAAAGAAAAGCAAGAAAAUAAUUCAGUGAGAGGAGUUCCUGUCACGGCUCAGUGGAAGUGAAUCUGACUAGGAACCAUGAGGUUUUGGGUUCCAUCCCUGGCCUUGCUCAAUCCGGCGUUGCUGUGAGCUGUGGUGUAGGCUGCAGAUGUGGCUUGGAUCCCGCAUUGCUGUGGCUGUGAUGUAGGCCGGUGGCUACAGCUUCCAAUUAGACCCCUAGGCUGGGAACUUCCAUAUGCCGCAAGAGCAGCCCUAAAAAGACCAAAAAAAAAAAAAAAAAAAAAAAAAAAAUUGAGAGACAAAGGUGUUAGGGGCAAGAAGAUGGAAUGUGGUCCCCAUAGAGCAGCCCUGGAGAAACACCACAGAGUAGGCCACCUCAAGGCUAGAGGCCUGUACCGUAGAACUAGUAGACUUGGACAAAGGCACUAGGAGCCAGUGAGGCUUGGCAAUUAAGGAUAAAAAGAUUAGCUCUUUGGGGGGCAAAGUUUUGUAUGUCUUUUUAGGGCUGUACCUGUGGCACCCAAUGGAGGUUCCCAGGCUAGGAUCGAAUCUGAGCUAUAGCCACGGACCUACUCCACAGCCACAGCGAUGUCAGAUCUGAGCUGCAUCUACCACCUACACCACAGCUCAAGGCAAUGCCAGAUCCUUAACCCACUGAGCAGGGCCAGGGAUCGAACCUGCAUCCUCAUGGAUGCUAGUCAGAUUCAUUUCUGCUGAGCCACAACAGGAACUCUCAUGUGAGGUUUAGAAUACAUUUUGUGGGAGUUCCCUUCGUGCCUCAGUGGUUAACCAACCCCACUAAGGAUCCAUGAGGAUAUGGGUUCAAUCCCUGGCCCUGCUCAGUGGGUUAAGGAUCUGGCGUUGUCAUGAGCUGUGGGGUAAGUUGCAGACACAGCUCAGAUCCUGCAUUGCUGUUGCUGUGGCAUAGGCUGGCAGCUGCAGCUUCAAUUUGACCUCUAGCCUGGGAAUUUCCAUAUGCCUCGGGUGCAGCUCUAAAAAGGGGGAAAAUACAUUUUGGGUCCCCACUAUCGUAAAAUAAAGGCAAUUUCACUGAAAGAAAAUUUAUUUCUUGCUCAUUCAAUGGUAGCCAUACAGAAAAAAAUUGUCAAAAGAAAUUUUACAGCCACAAGAAUGAAAGUAUACGAGUCCUGCUGAGACCCAACGGGUUAAGGAUCUGAGUGUCUGGUAGAUAAUGACUGAAGCCUUUGCUCAAGCACUGUUUUCACCAGGUGGCCCAUACCAAUUCAAAUCAAGACUCAGUUGACUUAAGCCAAGAGAUGGAAGAUAUGGGGAUCUCCCAGCGAGGCUCAGGGUUUAACAAACCCAACUAGUAUCCACGCCCUGGCCUCCCUCAGUGGGUUAAGGAUCCGGCAUUGCCAUGAGCUGUGGUGUAGGUCACAGACACGGCUUGGAUCAAGCGUUGCUGUGGCUCUGGUGUAGAGUGCAGAUGAGGCUCAGAUCUAGCAUUCCUCUGGCUGAGGUGUGGGCCAGCAGCUACUGCUCUGAUUUGACCCCUAGCCUGGGACCUUCCAUGGUGCAUCCUUAAAAAAGCAAAAAAAUAAAAGUACACCCGUCGAAAGAAUAUCCUUCCUUUGGCCUUGCUUUGCUGGUAUCAAUGCCAGUGACUUUCCAUGACCUCUUCCACUUCCCUCCAUCUCUGCCACCACAGCCACCCCCACCCAAGCCACCUUCCCCUCUUGCCUGGAGGAUCACUAGAACCUUCUUAUUUUUCCCCAGUAGAUUUUUUUUUUUUUAAAGGCUGCACCCAUAGCAUAUGAAAAUUCCCAGGCUAGAAUCAGAGUUGCAGCAGCCAGCCCACAGCACAGCUCAUGGCAACAUCAGAUCCUUAACCCACUGAGCAGGGCCAGGGAUCAAACCCACAUUCUCAUGGAUAGUAGUUGGGUUCAUUAUCACUGAGCCACAACGGGAACUCCUGCCCAAUAGACCUUAAAGUCAUGAAGGCAAGAUGCAUGUCUAAUUUUGCUCAUUAUUGUCUGCU
rnacentral:lncRNA from 1 species